GACGGGGGGAGAAUAGAAAUGAGAAUCUGGCACUCGGAGGAAAGGAAGCAGCCACUCUGGACCUGUCACAUUAUCACAGCAAAAAGCAAAAUCAGAAACCAGCUCUGGCCUCCCGGAUCCUGGAGGAGCCUUCUCCUCAUGGCAUCUCUAGCAUCUGAAGUGGAUGUUAAUUUCAUUCUUUCCUUUUCUUUAUGUUCAUCUCCACCCCUUAGUAUGCAUGGGUGGUGUAAGUUCCAUGUCAGGGAUGUUGUCUGGGAAAAUCUGUGCCUCUGUAUUUAUUGUAUUCUCUGUAGACAUGAAAGUUAAGCCUUUUUCUAAAGGGAGAGCUGUGAAGAUGGAGAUGAAUAUGCAUAUGCGGAAGAUCCAUGCCUCGGUGUGCCCAGUGUGCGCUCAGCGCUCUGGUUCCUGGAACACAGAAGGCAGGCGUCCAUAGCCCCCCGGAGCUGAUUUUGGAGAGAGUAAAUUACUUGCUGUAGGUCAUGGAGGGGGAGCUGGACUGGGCUUCUCCUGCAGAAAGCCCGACUGUGAGGCGUCUAGCGCCGUGACUCAUUUCACAAUGAGAAAGCAGAACUCUGGAGGUCAUGCAGGAGGCGGCUGGGAUGCAGCUGCCCCAAUGUGAGGUCUGCAGGGUCUGAAGAGCUCUGAACUGCCUGGCCCCACCUUGGCCCUUGCUUCUCUGGGCGACUUCUCUGGCAUGCCCCAAGCUGCAGUGAGGGAAAGGUGAUUUUUCCCAGAGUGCAUGGAAGGUGGUUUAUAGCUGCUGCAGAGAGCACUCUGAGAGACUCUAAAUUACCGUGCUCGCUGAAACAUGCGUGCAUGAAUAAUAGAUCCAGCCCAGAUGCAGAGCGCCUCUUGCGCAAUUUCUCAAGGCGCCUCGAGACUCUCUCAAGGGUGCUUGCCGAGGUCACAGCCUACUUGAGCUAUUCCGGGCUGGGAGAAACAGAAAUCUGCAGGUGGAGAGGACACACUAUUCCUCACCAUGUCAGCCUCAUGCUGACACUGGCCGAGAGGCAGGCUUGCAGGGGCUGCGCCUGCCAGGAAGGGAAGGAGCCGGCGUCUGCCAGCCCCUGCUCAGGAAGUAAGGGGCCUGCAGCCGGGCUCAGGAGCAUUGCUUCAUUUAAUCUUCCCAAAUUAGUGAGGCGGGAAUGUCCCAUUCGACAGCGUGGAGAUGGCUGGACACAGAGAGCGCUACAUGGUCCAUGAGCACAUGCCUUAGCAGAAGGGAGCUUUAAAAUCCGAAAGAAAAACCGUGACUUUCAGGACUGCUGCCCCCGGGGAACCUGGGAGCCUCAAUUCUAGCAUCACGUGGACCAGUGACCUUGAGCAUGUCGAUGUCACCAGUGUUCCCAAACCACAGUGACCUUGAUGUCACAGCACAGACAAGGUGCCCACAGGUCCCCAUGCCAUUACGCUGACCUCGAGAAGGGCUGGCCCAGCAGCCCUCGCAGGCUCUCUCUGGUGUACGUGUGCACAGUUCCCUCUUAGGCUGCAACGGAGGGCAAUUUGGGAAGGAGAGGGUGUCCCGCAGGUGUCUUGCUGUGUGCACUGGCAAGCCAUCUGUCUGCAGUCCCAGAGGCAGGGUCAUUGCCCCCACCAUGAUGUCCACUCCUCGUCCCGAGUACGUGUGAAUGUGUCACCUCAUGUGGCAAAGGAAGCUUGGCAAAUGGAUUGUGUUGGAUCUCGAGAUGAGAAGGUGACCCUGGAUCAUCCAGGUGGGUCCAGUGCUGUCACCAGGAGCCUUAGGAGGGAGCCAGACACAAGGCCCAGUCAGAGAAGGAGAGGUCCGUGGCCCAGGGGAUGGAGAACGGGAGGUCCAGCCAAGGAAAGCGGCGGCCUCCACGCUCCGCGGGCACAGCCUUGUCUCUUGGUGCCGCGGUCUGGGUCUGGAACGGCCCUCGGGGCCUCGUGGAAGGCUGGCUUAC
rnacentral:lncRNA from 1 species